rnacentral:misc_RNA from 1 species
GGUGUGCAGCCACCACACCCAAUCCACCAAGAACUGGAAGCCAGCGAUCUUGGUCCAUGGUCUCUGCCCGCACACCACCUCAAGAACUACCGCACCGAAGCCAUAGACGUCAGACUCGCGGGUAGCUUUGCCCGUAUGAAAGCAUUCAGGGGCAAUGUAGCCCAUAGUACCAGGCACUCCUUCGAGCUCUGCAUAGGAGGUUUUCUCAUUUUCCAAGGCACGAGCCAGCCCAAAAUCUCCAAGGCGAGCAUUGAAG